GGGUCAGAUUGUCGGUCGUGCCUCGGUACGCACUGGCAUUAUUGGUUCCUACCUUCUGAAGAACCGCGAUGUCAUUAAUUUGGUGUCGUGGGGAAUCAGGACUGUUACUUUGAAAAAAUUAGAGUGUUUAAAGCAGGCGCACGCUUGAAUACAUUAGCAUGGAAUAAUGAAAUAGGACGUUUGAUUCUAUUUUGUUGGUUUCUAAGAUUGACGUAAU
rnacentral:rRNA from 1 species